UACGUAGGGUGCGAGCGUUAAUCGGAAUUACUGGGCGUAAAGCGUGCGCAGGCGGUUUUGUAAGCCAGAUGUGAAAUCCCCGGGCUUAACCUGGGAAUGGCAUUUGGGACUGCAAGGCUCGAGUGCGGCAGAGGAGACUGGAAUUCCUGGUGUAGCAGUGAAAUGCGUAGAUAUCAGGAGGAAUACCGAUGGCGAAGGCAGGUCUCUGGGCUGACACUGACGCUCAUGCACGAAAGCGUGGGGAGCGAACAGG
rnacentral:rRNA from 1 species